rnacentral:rRNA from 1 species
UGUUGCGGUUAAAAAGCUCGUAGUUGGAUAUCAGUGCGUGUCCGGUCCGGUAUGCCCGGUACCGUCGCGGCAACGCGUCGGCCGCCGGGCUCCCAAAUAUCGGCUGGCCGCAUUCAAUCGGGCCGGAUCCGUCGACGGGCCGCUCUCCGGAGGGGCCUGUUGGCGACCGGCAACGUUACCUUGAACAAAUUAGAGUGCUCAAAGCAGGCUCUGAAUGCCUGUAUACAUAUUCAUGGAAUUGGAGAAUACGUCCCUGGCUCAAUUUGGUUGGUUUUGAGAGUCGAAGGGAAAUGAUUAAUAGGGACUGACGGAGGCAUUCGUAUUGCGCCGCGAGGGGUGAAAUCCUGUGACCGGCGCACGACGAACUACUGCGAAAGCAUUUGCCGAGAAUGUUUUCAUUAGUCAAGAACGAAAGUUAGAGGUUCGAAGGCGAUCAGAUACCGCCCUAGUUCUAACCGUAAACGAUGUCGACCAGCAAUCCGCAGCGGUCACUACACGGACUGUGCGGGCAGCUUUCCCGGAGAAAUCAGAGUGUAUGGACUCCGGGGGAAGUAUGGUUGCAAAGCUGAAACUUAAAGGAAUUGACGGAAGGGCACCACCAGGAGUGGAGCUUGCGGCUUAAUUUGACUCAACACGGGACAACUCACCAGGCCCGGACACCGUAAGGAUUGACAGACUGAUAGCUCUCUCUUGAUUCAGUGGGUGGUGGUGCAUGGCCGUUCUUAGUUGGUGGAGUGAUUUGUCUGGUUUAUUCCGAUAACGAACGAGACUCUGGCCUAUUAAACUUGACGCCGCUAGUCCUUAUGCGACUGCGGCGUGCUUCUUAGAGGGAUCAUCGGCGUCCCAGCCGAAGGAAAGGGAGCAAUAACAGGUCUGUGAUGCCCUUAGAUGUUCUGGGCUGCACGCGUGUUACACUGAAGUGGUCAGCGCGCCGUUCUACGUCCCUCUCCGUGAGGAGCGGGCAAACGUUUGAACCCUUUUCGUGAUGGGAAUUGGGGGUUGCAAUUGUCCCCCAUGAACGAGGAAUUCCAAGUAAGCGCAGGUCACUAGCCUGCGUUGAUUAAGUCCCUGCCCUUUGUACACACCGCCCGUCGCUACUACCGAUGGAUGAUUUG